rnacentral:sRNA from 1 species
UGAUGCCAGGGUCAAAAGGUCAUGUGUUUCACGCGCGCGUGAAAAAACAGGACUUUGGGACCCGCUAAACAUGAGAAAGUAGCCAUUUUUCGUAGAAAAAUGAGCGAAUUUCGAAUGUUUUUGGAUUUCGGAAGUGUGAAACACGUAGAAAUCCCAAGGCAUCA